AAAAGGACAAAGUUGUCCAAGUCACUUGGCAAAGAAUACAUCGAGGUUAUAAAUUUUCUGGCCUACUCUAUAGAGAGAUCGCAUCUUGCCUAUAGGAGCCUAUACCAUAUAGUUUCAUCUCACUUCUAUCCAUCAAUGUAGGUGAGGGAUGUGGGCAUUUGGAUAGUUGUGGAAUUAGGAAUCAUGCAGUUAAUAUUUCUAAGCUUCUACAUCACAGAUGCAUCAGUUUGGAGCGACCAGGAUGAGCAUUAUUGAGAAUUUUGGAUCUUUUGUUGAACUUGAGGCUAGGGAUAUGGUUGUCAUGGAUUGAGUUAGCCAUAUGGAAGUUGAAUGUAGAGUCACUUUAAGGUGUUAGGGAUGUACUAUCAAAGUUAUAAGAUACAUCUAGGAUUUGUUCUAUAGAUUUAGUCAGUAUCGAUCAUGAUUUUUGUAGAAGAGAUAAGUAGCUUAAUUUAUUUCUGGGAUGAAAUAUGGCAUUCUAAAGGUGUGCAAUUAAAAGCCUCCUAAUUUUGUUGUUUAUAAAAGCAGACUUUGUUGAUAAUAUUUAUUGUGCUGGACCUCUUAGUAUUUUUUUAGGUAAUAAACAGGAGCAUAGCUGGUAUUAAAAGAGAAUAAAGAGUUUACAGCAGCAAACAAACAAACAGUAAAACAUCAGGAAUAAUAAAAUAAUAGCAGCAGCAGCCGAUAACCCAAACACAGCAAAAUACAACAAACGUUAUAGGGUAAUAAUCCUGUAAACAUCCGAACUGACAAAAUCCCCAAAACAGAACCAGCAAGGGAGAAAGAGACAAUGAAGGGGAAGGUUGAAGCUAUUCGAACAGGGAAAUGCCGAUCUCCUCUUCGAUAAAAAACACCUAAAUUGUUAGCCUGCAAUAUGAAAAUAAAAAUAGAAUUUGAAAUGAAACUAUCAGGCAAUAGAAGAAAUUGACGAAACACCGCCCUGGCCACAAAGUCAGCAGCCCUCUUAGCUUCUCAUGGAACAUGAGAAGCAUGAAAGGUGGAAUAAGAGGCCUUCUAAGUAAAAAUAUCAUUCAAAAUAGGAAACUGAUAAUCCUUUUUCAUCUGAGAAGAAGCAAGCACAGAAACAACAAUCUUUGAAUCACCUUUCAACCAAAAAACAGAAGCAUUUAAAUGAGAGAUAGUCAUAGCCAUACUCUACCAAGCCGUAACCAACUUAGCAUAUAAAACAGAAGGUAAGAGCUUAGCCCCCAAAGCAAGAACCCUAUCUGAAGCAUCUCGAAUUAUAAAAUCAGAGGCUACCUUAUCGUCAACCACAACGGCAUCAAAAUUUAGUUUAAGGGUGCCUGAGGAUGGGAGAAGUCAAGAAAAGGAGAGUGAUAAAGUACUGCUAGAAUCCGACAGUAAAGAACUUCCCCAGCACCUCAAAUGGCACCCAUCAAUAGAAUAAGAGUCGGCAAUAUUCAAGGGAAUGAGAUAAUAGAAUACACUGCGAACAACCUGAGUGGGGGUUGGAAGAAGAUCCUCAAAAGUUCUUCGAUUCCUUGCAUUCCAAAUAAGCCAAGGAAGAGUGGCUAAUAAAGAUUUUAUUUCUUUUGGAACAGAAGAGGUCAUAAGAUUAACUAGGUUUUUAGUAGAAGAUGGGUGGUAGUCAACAUUAGUUAACAGUUUCAGAUGAUACCGCAACUUUUGGCAAAAGGGCAAUCAAAAAGCACAUGAUCAAUAUCCUCCACAACAUCAGCACAAAGAUCACAAUAAAUGCAAGAAUCAUCAAUAAUUCCUUUUAAAGCAAGAAUAAUUUUGCAGGAGAUGCUUUGCCAUUGAACCUUCCACCAGAAAUACUUAAUGCACAA
rnacentral:lncRNA from 1 species